GCCAGACUCCUACGGGAGGCAGCAGUGGGGAAUAUUGCGCAAUGGGCGAAAGCCUGACGCAGCGACGCCGCGUGAGGGAUGAAGGUCUUCGGAUCGUAAACCUCUGUCAGCAGGGAAGAACGGUCACUGUGCUAAUCAGCAGUGAAUUGACGGUACCUGCAAAGGAAGCACCGGCUAACUACGUGCCAGCAGCCGCGGUAAUACGUAGGGAGCGAGCGUUGUCCGGAAUUACUGGGUGUAAAGGGAGCGUAGGCGGGGAUGCAAGUUGGGUGUUAAAUCUACCGGCUCAACUGGUAGUCGCACUCAAAACUGCAGCUCUUGAGUGAAGUAGAGGCAGGCGGAAUUCCUAGUGUAGCGGUGAAAUGCGUAGAUAUCAGGAGGAACACCGGUGGCGAAGGCGGCCUGCUGGACUGCAACUGACGUUGAGGCCCGAAAGCGUGGGGAGCAAACAGGAUUAGAUACCCCAGUA
rnacentral:rRNA from 1 species